rnacentral:sRNA from 1 species
GAGGGUACAAACGUUAAUCGGAAUUACUGGGCGUAAAGCGCGCGUAGGUGGUUUGUUAAGUGGGAUGUAAAAGCCCUGGGCUUAACGUAGGAAUUGCAUUCCAAACUGACAGACUAGAGUACGAUAGAGGGGGGUAGAAUUCAGAGUGUAGCGGUGAAAUGCGUAGAUAUUCUGAGGAAUACCGGUGGCGAAGGCGGCCCCCUGGAUUGAUACUGACACUGAGGUGCGAAAGCGUGGGGAGCAAACAGGAUUAGAUGCCCCGGUAGUCCACGCCGUAAACGAUGUCAACUAGCCGUUGGGAGGCUUGACCUCUUAGUGGCGAAGCUAACGCGAUAAGUUGACCGCCUGGGGAGUACGGUCGCAAGAUUAAAACUCAAAUGAAUUGACGGGGGCCCGCACAAGCGGUGGAGCAUGUGGUUUAAUUCGAUGCAACGCGAAAAACCUUACCAGGCCUUGACAUCCAGAGAACUUACCAGAGAUGGUUUGGUGCCUUCGGGAACUCUGAGACAGGUGUUGCAUGGCUGUCGUCAGCUCGUGUCGUGAGAUGUUGGGUUAAGUCCCGUAACGAGCGCAACCCUUAUCCUUAUUUGCCAGCACGUAAUGGUGGGAACUCUAAGGAGACUGCCGGUGACAAACCGGAGGAAGGAGAGGAUGAUGUCAAGUCAUCAUGGCCCUUACGGCCUGGGCUACACACGUGCUACAAUGGGGAGUACAGAGGGCCGCAAUACUGCAAAGUGGAGCAAAUCCCAGAAAACUUCUCGUAGUCCGGAUUGGAGUCUGCAACUCGACUCCAUGAAGUCGGAAUCGCUAGUAAUCGCGAAUCAGCAUGUCGCGGGGAAUACGUUCCCGGGCCUUGUACACACCGCCCGUCACAUCAUGGGAGUGGGCUGCUAAAGAAGUGGCUAGUCUAACCUUCGGGAGGACGGUCACCACUUUGUGGUUCAUGACUGGGAUGAAGUCGUAACAAGGCAGCCGUAGGGGAACCUGCGGCUGGAUCACCUCCUUAACUUGAGUGUCCACCCUUCAAGUACUCACAACCUAUUGUAUGUUUCUGCACUUCGACACGUUGUUCGUUAAACGCUAGAAGUGACAACUAAUGAGCAUCUAAAAACCAAAACUGAGACGAUUCCUAUCCGGUUAUAAAAACGGGUUAAUCUAGUCGUCUGAGUUUUGGUUCUUUGAAUCAAAUAGAUACAAGUUGUUGGUAGCCCCAACAGUUGCUCUUUAAAAAAGUGGAAAGUGAUAAAGUAGUCUGUAAAGACAUUCGCAAGAUAGAUUGCAUACUUAAUCAUGCAUAACCUCUAACCAGAGGCGCGCGUGGUUGUUGUAAAGCAGUAAUCUAGAUUGUAAAAACAUAUAAGUUUUUAGCAUUAUUCGGUGAAAAUGUAACCUGAUAGAGGAACCCUUCGUGUAAAAGGUACGAAAGGAUUCUCGUUAACUCAACGGUAGAAAUACCCGGAUAUCUCAUGAAUUUGAGGUAGACGAGUUUGUUCAAGUUAUAUGAUCAAGCGAAUAAGCGCAUAUGGUGGAUGCCUAGGCAGUUGGAGGCGAUGAAGGACGUUGUAGUCUGCGAAAUGCUCGGGGGAGCUGACAAACAAGCGUUAUAUCCCGAGAUGU